rnacentral:rRNA from 1 species
GAUGAACGCUAGCGGCGGGCUUAAUACAUGCAAGUCGAGGGGUGGUAGCAAUACUACACCGGCGCACGGGUGCGUAACGCGUAUGCAAUCUACCUUUAUCUGGGGGAUAGCCCGGGGAAACCCGGAUUAAUACCGCAUAACAAAUUUCUUGGCAUCAAGAGAUUUUAAAAGAUUUAUCGGAUAGAGAUGAGCAUGCGUAAGAUUAGAUAGUUGGCGAGGUAACGGCUCACCAAGUCUACGAUCUUUAGGGGCUCUGAGAGGAGAAUCCCCCACACUGGCACUGAGAUACGGGCCAGACUCCUACGGGAGGCAGCAGUAGGGAAUAUAGGGCAAUGGGCGCAAGCCUGACCCAGCCACGCCGCGUGCAGGAAGAAGGCCCUCUGGGUUGUAAACUGCUUUUGGCUGGGAAGAAAAGACUCCUUGCGAGGAGAGUUGACGGUACCAGCAGAAUAAGCCACGGCUAACUACGUGCCAGCCGCCGCGGUAAAAC